CGCACUGGGCGCCCGCGGCGCAACUCUGUACGAUUAUCGAUGCCAUUAGCUUGUGUGCCUUCGCAUCCACGUAGAUGCGAUGUUUGUUGGGUCAUAAACUCAUUCGUCGUCUGCAAGCUUGCAGUUACUCUGAUACAUCAUGAAUUUGUGAUGGCAAUAAAUACGUGGCGUUUUGGUUUUGUGGGUUAUGUUCUGUUUGCCUUUGCGUUCCGUGGUCUGUGUGAUUGUGCUAUCGUUGGACCUCUUGAGUAUCACAACUAGCAUACAAGAUGCAUGAUAAUAAGAGAUGUCUUGCUACUUGUAAGCAUCUGUCUACUAGCUUGUUGAAACUGGAAAGUUGAUUAUGCUGUUGUGCUGUCUAUUUUUUUUUCACGGUACUGUCAACCCCAUUCGUAAAUGAAUGCUGUGAGUAGAGCUGCUUAAAUAGCUUAUGCUUGUUAACGUCUGGCCGGCCGCACCGUGAGAGCCCCGUCCUCGCGACACAAAGGCAAGGUGCAUGACUGCCCCUCCAAGCACAGGUACGUACCUUCGUCCUUAUCAAUCAAAAUUGGAAGCACGCGGCGACCGCGUUUCAUUUGAUCUCCCAGGACGGAGUUCGUCGAUCUGAUCGGAGCAGCGACAGGCAACGGCGUCUGCGUGGCGACUGCCACCGGUGUGUUGGAGCCGCGCUGACUUGAGUUUCCCAUCUAUCUGCGCACGAUCAACAGGACCGUGUCAGAAGAGCCAAUCUCCACGACAUAAGGGCGAGGUGCACGAGCAAUGCCGUGAGUGGCUGAUGCAAUUCUAGAAAGAGAUUGGUGUCCUGGAUGCUGUUCGGCUCUUGAGUUCUUUAUGCAUAUCAAAACAUCUGUCUAGAUGUUGUUCGGCUCUAUGAAUGGUAUUUGUAACCUCUGAAUUUCCAUUCAUUCAAGGUUGAAGGUUGCAAUGAUGGUAGCUUAGAAGAGGUAAAAGACCCUUAGCACUGCUUAAAUAUUCCUUGGUAGUAAGUUAAUAUCGUUGCUGGCAAACACCCUAUACACUUCUGAUCAUGCUGGACCAAUUGUUGAACUGGGUCCGAUGUCAGAGUGGCAAUUGAUCAAGAAAGAUGGCAUUUUGCGGUUCUUUUCUGAUUUAGAACUGAUCAAGGGACAUGUACUCCGAUUGCACUGAAGUGGUUGAACUUCAGUUUCUCCGAUGUCAGAGUGGCAAUUGAUCAAGAAAGAUGGCAUUUUGCGGUUCUUUUCUGAUUUAGAACUGAUCAAGGGACAUGUACUCCGAUUGCACUGAAGUGGUUGAACUUCAGUUUCUCUGAUGUUUCAACUUUCAAUAUGGUAUCUGUAGCUGAAUCUUUUUUUUUAGUUUCUGAAAUUCUGAAACCAGGAUGUACUUGAUCAAUACUAGCUAUUCUGGAAUUCUGAAAACACUAUUGUCGAAUAACUAGCUAUUCUUCAGGUCAAGAAGGAAUUGGAGGGUUUGAGACAGCCCGUAGAGUAGCCUAAACAUAUCCUAGCUUCUUGAACAAGUCUCUUGCUUCUUGAACAAAUGUUUCUCCAGGUGGCCUGCGAAUGGAGGGAGUAUUCUGUUACAGCAUGUGUGGCUGUUUUAUGAAGGUCUCAAGACACAUCAACAUCAAAGUGGAGAACAAGAUGGUAAGGACAGGUUGCACAGGGAGCUUGAUGGCAUUCAGGUUGAGCUGCAAGCCUCUGAAGAAGCUACCAAGAUGUUACUACCUUUGUCAACUGAGCUAGUAGCUGAUCAAAAGCUUUGUCUGAAAGUUCCAGUAUUCUGUUCGGAUUCUUUGGGGGUAUGAGCCAUAAUGACGUGCCUGUAACUAACUAUUAUCAUUUCAGAAGGGCCAUCCUUCAGCUAAUAUUUGGCCUAGUUCGUUUUGGAACUAAUUCAUUGA